UACGUAGGGUGCAAGCGUUGCCCGGAUUUAUUGGGCGUAAAGGGCGCGCAGGCGGCUACGCACGUCCGUUGUGAAAUCGCUCGGCUCAACUGGGGAGGGUCACGCGAUACUGAUCGACUCGAAGGCAGGAGAGGGUAGUGGAAUUCCCGGUGUAGUGGUGAAAUGCGUAGAUAUCGGGAGGAACACCAGUGGCGAAGGCGACUACCUGGCCUGUUCUUGACGCUGAGGCGCGAAAGCUAGGGGAGCAAAGCGGGAUUAAGAUGA
rnacentral:rRNA from 1 species